rnacentral:lncRNA from 1 species
CCAAGUAUCCCAGCUAUUCUCUCACCAUGUGGGCCGACUAAGGUGGUUGGGAAGGGACUGAAAAUAGCCCCCUCCCCUUGGGCGUGUGGCACAAUAAAGGGACGUGCAAGUUGGUGCCUCUCCUACUUGGUUUAGAAAUCCUUGUAUUUUAUGGAGUUUGGAUUUGAUUCAAACAUAGAGAAUCCUAUUCUUAGCACCUAAAGAAAUUUGAUUUGAUUUAAGACCUCUUGUUUAUUUAAGGAGAGGUAUGGAGAAGAA